rnacentral:rRNA from 1 species
AGUAACGGCGAGCGAACGGGGAAGAGCUCAUAGCCGAAUCCGGUGCCCCCGGGCAUUGGAAAUGUGGCGUAUGGGAGGCGGAGCCCUCCGCGUGCGAUCGGAGGUACAAGUCCCCAUGAGAGGGGCAUGUUACCCGUAGACGGUGCUAGGCCCGUGCCGCCUUCGAUCUGCAUGCGGAGUUGCCGUUUUCCCGGGAGUCGGGUUGCUUGGGAGUGCAGCCCUAAGUGGGUGGUAAACUCCACCUAAAGCUAAAUAUGACCGAGAGACCGAUAGCGAACAAGUACCGUGAGGGAAAGUUGAAAAGCACUUUGAAGAGAGAGUUCAAGAGUACGUGAAACCGUUCAGAGGUAAACGGGUGGGACCUCGAAGUCCAAAGACGGUGGUGGAUUCAGUCCGCACCGGGUUCCGCCUUCCGUAGCAUCACCCCGCGACCGGGGCUGCCUAGGGAGGGAUCGGGCUCGGGUCGGGCGCACUUCCACGCCCCGUCCGUUAGGACGCCGCGACCGGUUGGGAGGCUGUCGUGAGGUCCGGCCGUAAAGGUGGCCGCAUUUCUUGCUCGCAGGAUCUGCGGUGUUACAGUUGGCCGGAUGCACCUGAGAGGCCGCCCGACCGGGGUCGAGCCAUCCUCUACUUGCGUUCCCUUUCCGCGUGGGAAGCGACCCUCUGGGCGAGCUGCCGGUCGGAGGUCGCCGCGCCAGCAAUGGCGAGUGCCUCCGGAAGGCUGCCGCAGCCCGGCGGGAUCGUGGGGAGCGAGAGGUUGCGGCGAGUAGGUCGGUAACCCACCCGACCCGUCUUGAAACACGGACCAAGGAGUCUAACGCGUGUGCGAGUUCCCGGGACUUGAACAGGCCCGAGGGCGCAAUGAAGGUGAAGGGCAAUUUGGUUGCCCGAGUUGGGAUCCGGACCCUUUUAAAGGGCGCCGGCGCACCAACGGCCCGUCUCGAACCGUUCUCGGUUUGGCGGAGCUAGAGCAUACGCUCUGGGACCCGAAAGAUGGUGAACUAUGCCUGGGCAGGACGAAGCCAGAGGAAACUCUGGUGGAGGUCCGCAGCGAUUCUGACGUGCAAAUCGAUCGUCAGACCUGGUAUA